GGGUUGUGAGGUUAAGCGACUAAGCGUACACGGUGGAUGCCCUGGCAGUCAGAGGCGAUGAAGGACGUGCUAAUCUGCGAAAAGCGUCGGUAAGGUGAUAUGAACCGUUACAGCCGGCGAUGUCCGAAUGGGGAAACCCAGUGCAAUUCGUUGCACUAUCGUUAACUGAAUACAUAGGUUAACGAGGCGAACCGGGGGAACUGAAACAUCUAAGUACCCCGAGGAAAAGAAAUCAACCGAGAUUCCCCCAGUAGCGGCGAGCGAACGGGGAGCAGCCCAGAGUCUGAAUCAGCUUGUGUGUUAGUGGAACGGUCUGGAAAGUCCGACGGUACAGGGUGAUAGUCCCGUACACCAAAAUGCACAGGCUGUGAACUCGAAGAGUAGGGCGGGACACGUGGUAUCCUGUCUGAAUAUGGGGGGACCAUCCUCCAAGGCUAAAUACUCCUGACUGACCGAUAGUGAACCAGUACCGUGAGGGAAAGGCGAAAAGAACCCCGGCGAGGGGAGUGAAAAAGAACCUGAAACCGUGUACGUACAAGCAGUGGGAGCACCUUCGGGUGUGACUGCGUACCUUUUGUAUAAUGGGUCAGCGACUUAUAUUCUGUAGCAAGGUUAACCGUAUAGGGGAGCCGCAGGGAAACCGAGUCUUAACUGGGCGUUAAGUUGCAGGGUAUAGACCCGAAACCCGGUGAUCUAGCCAUGGGCAGGUUGAAGGUUGGGUAACACUAACUGGAGGACCGAACCGACUAAUGUUGAAAAAUUAGCGGAUGACUUGUGGCUGGGGGUGAAAGGCCAAUCAAACCGGGAGAUAGCUGGUUCUCCCCGAAAGCUAUUUAGGUAGCGCCUCGUGAACUCAUCUUCGGGGGUAGAGCACUGUUUCGGCUAGGGGGUCAUCCCGACUUACCAACCCGAUGCAAACUACGAAUACCGAAGAAUGUUAUCACGGGAGACACACGGCGGGUGCUAACGUCCGUCGUGAAGAGGGAAACAACCCAGACCGCCAGCUAAGGUCCCAAAGUCAUGGUUAAGUGGGAAACGAUGUGGGAAGGCACAGACAGCCAGGAUGUUGGCUUAGAAGCAGCCAUCAUUUAAAGAAAGCGUAAUAGCUCACUGGUCGAGUCGGCCUGCGCGGAAGAUGUAACGGGGCUAAACCAUGCACCGAAGCUGCGGCAGCGACACUAUGUGUUGUUGGGUAGGGGAGCGUUCUGUAAGCCUGCGAAGGUGUGCUGUGAGGCAUGCUGGAGGUAUCAGAAGUGCGAAUGCUGACAUAAGUAACGAUAAAGCGGGUGAAAAGCCCGCUCGCCGGAAGACCAAGGGUUCCUGUCCAACGUUAAUCGGGGCAGGGUGAGUCGACCCCUAAGGCGAGGCCGAAAGGCGUAGUCGAUGGGAAACAGGUUAAUAUUCCUGUACUUGGUGUUACUGCGAAGGGGGGACGGAGAAGGCUAUGUUAGCCGGGCGACGGUUGUCCCGGUUUAAGCAUGUAGGCUGGUUAUCCAGGCAAAUCCGGAUAAUCAAGGCUGAGGUGUGAUGACGAGGCACUACGGUGCUGAAGUAACAAAUGCCCUGCUUCCAGGAAAAGCCUCUAAGCAUCAGGUAACAUCAAAUCGUACCCCAAACCGACACAGGUGGUCAGGUAGAGAAUACCAAGGCGCUUGAGAGAACUCGGGUGAAGGAACUAGGCAAAAUGGUGCCGUAACUUCGGGAGAAGGCACGCUGGUGUGUAGGUGAAGCCCCUGCGGGUGGAGCUGAGACCAGUCGAAGAUACCAGCUGGCUGCAACUGUUUAUUAAAAACACAGCACUGUGCAAACACGAAAGUGGACGUAUACGGUGUGACGCCUGCCCGGUGCCGGAAGGUUAAUUGAUGGGGUUAUCCGUAAGGAGAAGCUCUUGAUCGAAGCCCCGGUAAACGGCGGCCGUAACUAUAACGGUCCUAAGGUAGCGAAAUUCCUUGUCGGGUAAGUUCCGACCUGCACGAAUGGCGUAAUGAUGGCCAGGCUGUCUCCACCCGAGACUCAGUGAAAUUGAACUCGCUGUGAAGAUGCAGUGUACCCGCGGCAAGACGGAAAGACCCCGUGAACCUUUACUAUAGCUUGACACUGAACAUUGAGCCUUGAUGUGUAGGAUAGGUGGGAGGCUUUGAAGCGUGGACGCCAGUCUGCGUGGAGCCAACCUUGAAAUACCACCCUUUAAUGUUUGAUGUUCUAACGUUGGCCCCUUACCGGGGUUGCGGACAGUGUCUGGUGGGUAGUUUGACUGGGGCGGUCUCCUCCCAAAGCGUAACGGAGGAGCACGAAGGUUAGCUAAUCCUGGUCGGACAUCAGGAGGUUAGUGCAAUGGCAUAAGCUAGCUUGACUGCGAGCGUGACGGCGCGAGCAGGUGCGAAAGCAGGUCAUAGUGAUCCGGUGGUUCUGAAUGGAAGGGCCAUCGCUCAACGGAUAAAAGGUACUCCGGGGAUAACAGGCUGAUACCGCCCAAGAGUUCAUAUCGACGGCGGUGUUUGGCACCUCGAUGUCGGCUCAUCACAUCCUGGGGCUGAAGUAGGUCCCAAGGGUAUGGCUGUUCGCCAUUUAAAGUGGUACGCGAGCUGGGUUUAGAACGUCGUGAGACAGUUCGGUCCCUAUCUGCCGUGGGCGCUGGAGAAUUGAGGGGGGCUGCUCCUAGUACGAGAGGACCGGAGUGGACGCAUCACUGGUGUUCGGGUUGUCAUGCCAAUGGCACUGCCCGGUAGCUAAAUGCGGAAGAGAUAAGUGCUGAAAGCAUCUAAGCACGAAACUUGCCCCGAGAUGAGUUCUCCCUGAGACUUUAAGUCUCCUGAAGGAACGUUGAAGACGACGACGUUGAUAGGCCGGGUGUGUAAGCGCAGCGAUGCGUUGAGCUAACCGGUACUAAUGAACCGUGAGGCUUAACCUUACAACGCCGAAG
rnacentral:rRNA from 1 species